GCCCGGGCGGCGGCGGCUCUCGGGUUCUCCGUAGGGCCCCGCCUCGGAGCGGGCGGCGGCGGAGGAGGAGACUGAGGAGCAGGAUGGCGGCCUCGGCCCUGUACGCCUGCACCAAGUGUACCCAGCGUUAUCCUUUCGAGGAGCUCUCCCAGGGCCAGCAGCUCUGCAAGGAAAGCGAAGCGACUGGUUUGGGAACAGAAUGCUCUGAUUUGGAGCUCCUCCCAUCCCAUUAAAGCCUGGAUGCUGUCUGAAUGUCGGAUUGCACAUCCUAUUGUAAAAUGUACUUACUGCAGAUCAGAAUUUCAACAAGAGAGCAAAACUAACACAAUUUGUAAGAAGUGUGCUCAAAAUGUGAAGCAAUUUGGGACGCCCAAGCCUUGUCAGUACUGUAACAUAAUUGCAGCAUUUAUUGGUACCAAGUGUCAGCGUUGCACAAAUUCAGAAAAAAAGUAUGGACCACC
rnacentral:lncRNA from 1 species